GAUCAGUAAUGAUGAAAGAGAUUCAGGGUAUGUACAUGUGAAUGUCACACUAAGCUGAUAUUUCUUGUGUAGGUGACGUUCAGAUCGGUGCUUACAUGGUGAGCCCUUCUUUUCAAUAACCCAGUAACAGAAGCCCCUCCUGGCACGGUCAUUGAACUCAUUCCUGAACUGGGGCUUGUUUUGAGGUGAGGUAUUUGGUGUAUUUUGAUUCACACCUAAAGAAAAAAAAAUAUAUUGAAACAUCAGGGGAGCAAAUAAUAAAACAAGUAAGAGAUUUUAACAGCUCUUGUUACUGUGGGACCAACCGUAUGCUUGCACCAUGGAGGGAACCGGAUCAUUAACUGCAGUUUCAUCCAGAAUCAAUGGAGGCAACAGGCUGCUGCUGGGGUGGUCUGUCUGGAGAUGUGGAAACAUGACAGGGUGACUCCUCGGCCAGAAUGUCAUGCUGGUGAAGAAAAUCGAAGGAUCAUGAAUAUUAGCUACCGUUUAUUCCUCCAGUCCAACGAAGUGACAUCAUGCGCAACACGGCUGUAAAACAAAUACUUGACGUGUGAGAGAGAAACCUCUCGACAGUGACCAAGUACUUACUUCUCUCCCCUAAAACGACUUGAGUCCCAUGUUUUUUUCUUUUCUCCCGUCUGCAUGUUCAUGAUAGUACUGCAGCCAGCUCACCUCGACUCACACACACAAAGAUGGGUUGUGUUACUUUGUCACUUAGCAACCACUUUGACAACAGUACUCCUGCUGUGUUGAACUAGAGCAGGUUAUAAUUUCAGAUUGUGACUUAAAAGGGACAUCCUUGUGUUUUGUCUGUGACCUUAAACAGUCGGCUUUAUACAAGUGUCAACUGUGUGAAGUUAUUCAGCUUGUACCAACCUUAUUUACAAUAAUUACAAUGAAAUUGCUUUAAGAUUUUAAAAUGCUAAUCCGUUGUAUGUUGUUAAAAUCAGUUAACUUUGUUGUGCCGGAAAGCCCUGGAUAUUCCUAAAUCAUAAAUCAGCAGUGACAAAACGAAACAUUUCAUCACACUUACAAAAUAAACCGUAGUAAUGUUGUAG
rnacentral:lncRNA from 1 species